rnacentral:rRNA from 1 species
CCUUUGUACACACCGCCCGUCGCUACUACCGAUUGAAUGGCUCAGUGAGGCGUUCGGACUGGCUCGAGGAGGUUGGCAACGACCACCUCAAGCCGGAAAGUUCGUCAAACUCGGUCAUUUAGAGG